CAUACCUUUUAUCAAAAAGAAAAGUUGUACAUUCUAAAAAUUGCAUUAAUCAUGUACCCAAAAAAGUUCUAAAUGCGUGAUCAACCAUAACAAACAACAUCCAAAUGUUACCACUUUUUAUUAUCUACAAUCUAUUUUUACAACAUCCAAAUGCCUGAAUUUACAACAAUCUAUUUUUCAAUUAUCUACCAAAAAAUAUUACCACUUUUAAUAAACUAUGUUCUUAAAAAUACAUAUAACAACAUUUUCCUUGUAGAUCUGUCAAGCUCUACCAUGUCUUCAAUACAUAAACCUUUGAAAAGAAAGAUUAUCCAUCGGCAACGUCCACGGUCAACAAAUAUUGUAUGUAACAAAAAUCUGUUAUUUAUAAGAGAAAACAAAAUGUUAGUACUAUCGCAAGAAAGAAACAAUUGACACGUGAUUAAUUUAAUACGAUUUAUGAAUUAUAAAAUACACAUAACCGUGUUAACUUUUCUCCAUCUUCGACUUGUUGUUGAAUGAACACGUUUCCAUUCAACAGCUUUAUCAUCCCAAGAAUGCAAAAAAUUGAAAUGAAUCGUUUAGUUAUAUCAACAGAUCAAAUCAACAACUUGGAAAUUGACAACAAAAUGUAUUGAAAAGGAUAUAUGUACAAAUUAUUUGAGUCAUGUGCAAAUAAAACUGAAACAUAAGUUAUAUAUCCAAUAAGAACUCGACACAACUGGAGAAAUAAAUAAUAAGCAUAUUAUAACUCGGCCAACAUUGAGAAGCUUACUAUGUUAACUGCGAUGAUCAAGCUUCUCAAAUUUGUUCUUCACACACACACACACACACGUCUAUGUAUAUACUUGUAUGUGUGUGUGUAUAUGUAUGUGUAUGUGUAUGUUUCUGAACCCUACCUUUGCCCUUGUACUUUACAGACCCGACAUGCCAACUAAAUUUACCACAUUUAUAUAGGAAUCUUUCAAGUGAUUUCUUUCCUAUCUAUAAUUGAUUAUGUAAUACACUUACACAGAGAAACCAUUGAAAUGAUAAAACCAAAAUUUUUGUGAUCUUUAUUUACUUGUCUGUACUUUGAAUGACAUUCUAGUUGCACCAAAACUUACACAGUUUUGACUUCUGAAAUACAAUCUUUGAUGCCUAUACAAUCUGAACAUUAUGGUAGACAUCUUCCUAAACAUAUAUGGCCCUGUUACACCUGUUCAGAAGCUUAGAAUCUAAAAGAAUUAUUUUUUAAUUUCUGAGAACCAACGCGGCCACGCUGGUUUUGCCUUUCGACAACAUACCAAGACACUCUGUUUUUUGCAUAUUUCGGAUUUCCAACACCAACACUUGGUAUCAUGAAUUAUAAUCACCAUAUUAUCAAUUCAAACUCUUAGAAACAACUCUACUUCAAUUCUUAACAUACAUAUGUUAUGUAUCUUCUAAUUUUCAAAGGUUUAGAUAGUAAACUUCUUUCAAACAUUAUAUCACAUAUUUGGUGGGCAAAAAUUUAUUAGUUUAGUUUUAUAGAGCUUUUAAUAUACUAUAAUCCCAAAUUUCAUACACAUUCUCUGAGCAUCUAACAACCAAUUCAAUCAACACAAAACUAAUACAGAGAAUUUUUUAAUCAAUCGCACCAUCUAAUACUCAUAGUCAUAUACCCCUUUCAUGUAUAACUUUUAUCUAAUAAAAUCAUGAGCAGAUGUAUUCCUCACCUCUUGAUUUAGGAUGAUUCCAAUUUUCUUUAACUUCCAACGUCUAUUCCUCAACAACUCAAAGGUUAAAUGAAGGAAAUUGAAAGUGCAGUGUAUCAAGAGUUAGGCUAAAUAAAGGAAAUUGAGACUGAAAGUUUGGUUUAUAUAAGACUGCCAUAUCUUGCUCCUUACAUUAUAGCUCUGUUGAAUCCUUGGGGUCAUACUAAUAUGCCAGCUCUUGCUAGGUGUGCUUGAAGAAUUCUCAACAUCCUAGCUCAUGCUUAUUAGAUUGAUGACUCAGUUCGUUUAGCUUGGCCAUAUAUAAUCUCAAUUCAACCAGUAUUAAUAAGUUAUGGAGUGCAAAGAGAAAGUUAGAAUUCCUUUCACAUGCAACUCGUAACUCCUAUAUUCACCACGUUCUCAUACUUUGUCUCCUACAAAGAUCAUUUGUUGUCUCCUACGGGUGCUUUAAGAAAACUCUAAAAACUACAACGAUGCCACAACUUAUUCAAGCAUCAGUCUCAGCUACUUAUAAAGUUUAAAAAAAUGAAAUUGCUAGCUCAUUUAUAACAAUUAGAAAAUAUUCAACUAUUCCAUUUAAAACAUGUGCACAGACCUAACUACUCCAAUAACUUUCUGCAUAAAUAUUUAGGCUAUAUUAAAUACCUUUUAUUCCAAAUAACAUAUCGCAAAAAUUUCUUAAAAAAAGAAUCAUAAUUAGCACUCAUAAACCCAACAGUAAAACCCUUCAAAAUAACCGAACAAAAAGUACAGAUUUUAUAAAAAUCUUUGAAACGUCCCUGAUUUUUUCUUGAUGAUGCUAAACAGUAUGACCGCAAAUGAUUUUAAAUAUCUUAAAGUAUCCGUGUUUCACUAAAAAAAAUAUACGGUCAAACUAUAGAAAAGAAACAAAAUCAGAUGAACUAAAAUCACUGAAAACACAUUACCAAAUUCUACUAUGUGUCACCUAAAAUACUAUUUUUAGAAAAUUAAUUGGUCAAAACUCACGAAAUAUGAGUAGGAGAACAGAUAGCCUACGGUGCUCAUGUACCAAAAUCUCUUGACACUCCCACUAAUAUGACAUAAUAAUACAAAAUCUAAGCAUACAUAUAAGAGAUAUCUAAUGUGAAACUUCUAUAAUAUGUACUAUUCAGACAUCCCCAAUCAAGCCAUGUGAUUUAUAAACUGUAAAGUAAAGUAAAGUAAAAUUUCCAUUUAAAGAACCACAAUAACAAAAAACACAAAUAGAAAAUGCUAAAAAAAUCAACAGUUUGCACCAUUGUGCAAAGUCUAGAGAAAACAAAACCAUUAGCCUCAUUGACUACUAAUUAAAAUUUUCAAGAAAACAAAAAAUAAAAACAGAAGACUUGAAAAAAUAAAUGUAUCUAGGAAAACCAAAAACCCAUCAGUUAAAACUCAGAAUGUCACAAAAAACACUAUGAACGAUCAUUUUCUUCAAGUACGUUGUGAAUCCAUAUGAUUAGCAAAAUUAAGAGACCCAUAUACAGCAAGUGCAAACUCAUAAAUAGAGUUGUGUAUACACAUUAUUACACAUUGUUGUACAAAAAUCUACAAAAUCCGCAAAAGGUAAAAAGUAAAACAUAAUGGCUUACUUCAAAAAUCAACAAAACCCAGUCGAGCUAAAAGUGAAAAUAAUGGGGUUUGCUUUAAACAUGUAUAAAACCCACAAAAGCUAACAAAAGCUUAAAAACAUAAAGGGGCUUGUUUCAAAAAUUACAAAACCAACAAAAGCUAAAAGCCAAAACAUAAUGGGUUUGAUUCAAAAAUUUAUAAAAAAGUUAAAAUAAAAUGGGGUUUGCUUCGAAAAUCUACGAAACCCACAAAAAUCUAACAAAACCCACAAAAAUCUAACAAAACCUUAACAACACAAAGGUUUUUUUUUAAAUAUCAAUAAACCGAAAAAAAGCUAAAAACGUAAAGAAAAAUAGGCUUACCCUGGUAGAGGAAUAUCAGAACUAACAGCAGAAGCAACCAUGAAUUCCACAAAUAGGGAAAGAGAGAGAAAGCAAACACAAAGAAGAGAAAAGAAAUGUUGUGACCAUACUAUAAAUCCAAAAGGGAAUCCAAAGAAAUCAAUAGAAAUGGAAAGAAAUCUUUCUCAUUCAAAGUCCCCAUUAUUUCACCAAAAAACAAAAACAUUAAUUUGAUUUUCUACAAAUUUCUCACCGUUUCUCAUUUCCUCUAUGAGUUACCAUGAUUUACAAUGACUGAUUUGUUCAAGUGAAUUGUGCAUAAUUUCAAGUUUGAAAUCCACGCCUUCUUAAUGUACCUUGAUACUCCACAUGAGACUUUUGCAAUUAAAAAAAUCAAUUUUAUGUGCCUCUUUUUAUUGCCAUCAAUAUAUGCUAAGAAUAUAAUUCCAGAACAUUAUAUACGUAUGUGCAGAACUUACAAAAUUUUCAAAUUUGUCAAGUUUGCAAGCUGUGCAGGAAUUCCUC
rnacentral:lncRNA from 1 species